GGUUAAGUGACUAAGCGUAUACGGUGGAUGCCUUGGCAGUCAGAGGCGAUGAAGGACGUACUAACUUGCGAUAAGCCCGGAUGAGGGAGUAAGACCCACAUGAGUCCGGGAUUUCCGAAUGGGGAAACCCAC
rfam:Vibrio aerogenes CECT 7868 genome assembly, contig: 0076